rnacentral:siRNA from 1 species
UAAAUAGUAACCUACACACUU